rnacentral:pre_miRNA from 1 species
CUAGUACUCCCUCCGUCCGGGAUUACUUGUCAUCAAAAUGGAUGUGUCUAGAACUAAAAUACAUCUAGAUACAUCCAUUUCAAUGACAAGUAUUUUCGGACGGAGGGAGUACAAG